rnacentral:rRNA from 1 species
GACGAACCGAGCGAACGUUGUUCGGAAUCACUGGGCUUAAAGGGCGCGUAGGCGGAUUUUCAAGUCCGGGGUGAAAUCCCACAGCUCAACUGUGGAACUGCCUCGGAUACUGGGGGUCUCGAGGGUGGCAGGGGUAUGCGGAACUAUCGGUGGAGCGGUGAAAUGCGUUGAUAUCGAUAGGAACUCCGGUGGCGAAGGCGGCAUACUGGUCCACUUCUGACGCUGAGGCGCGAAAGCCAGGGGAGCAAACGGG